CUUACGGCCAGGGCUACACACGUGCUACAAUGGCAUAUACAAAGAGAAGCGACCUCGCGAGAGCAAGCGGACCUCAUAAAGUAUGUCGUAGUCCGGAUUGGAGUCUGCAACUCGACUCCAUGAAGUCGGAAUCGCUAGUAAUCGUAGAUCAGAAUGCUACGGUGAAUACGUUCCCGGGCCUUGUACACACCGCCCGUCACACCAUGGGAGUGGGUUGCAAAAGAAGUAGGUAGCUUAACCUUCGGGAGGGCGCUUACC
rnacentral:rRNA from 1 species